GGAGGGAUCGCAUAGUCUGGCCUAGUGCGCACGCCUGGANNAGCUGCCUCGAGGGUUCAAAUCCCUCUCCCUCCG
rnacentral:tRNA from 1 species